rnacentral:tRNA from 1 species
GCGGGCGUAGCUCAAUGGUAGAGCAGCGCCAGCUUCCCAAGCUGGACACGCGGGUUCGAUUCCCGUCGCCCGCU